rnacentral:rRNA from 1 species
UGCGGAGGAUCAUUAGUGUAUUGCCUUGGGGGGGUGUGGUCGGCCCGCACCGGUGGCGACGCCGUGCUGCGGUUGUCCGCGCUCCCUCUUCCAAAACCAAACACCUGUGAACCUUUGGGAAGGCGGCUGUAGUGGUCGUCGGCCCGUUCUUUAACAACUCUGAUGUCUAUUUGAAUGUGUCCUCGGGGCAUCCCCGAUUUAAAUGAAACAACUUUCAACAACGGAUCUCUUGGCUCUCGCAUCGAUGAAGAACGCAGCGAAAUGCGAUAAGUAAUGUGAAUUGCAGAAUUCAGUGAAUCAUCGAAUCUUUGAACGCACCUUGCGCCCUUUGGUAUUCCGAGGGGCAUGCCUGUUUGAGUGUCUUGAAAUCAUCAAACCCACUUGACUUGCCUUUGCGGGCCCGUGUGGUUUGGACUUGGGGGCUCUUUGCUGCCGCUUGCGGUGGCUCCCCUUAAAUGGAUCGGUUGGGCAUUUUGAGUCCCGUCCCUUGKCGUUGUAUCAACCUCGYCGCUGGGCAGCUCGAGCUUGCGCCCUUCCUUGACUUGCCUCUGGAGUGGCAGUCAACUUCAUUUUGUGAUCUGACCUCAAAUCAGGUAGGACUACCCGCUGAACUUAA